GAUGAACGCUGGCGGCGUGCCUAAUACAUGCAAGUCGAGCGAACGGACGAGAAGCUUGCUUCUCUGAUGUUAGCGGCGGACGGGUGAGUAACACGUGGAUAACCUACCUAUAAGACUGGGAUAACUUCGGGAAACCGUAGCUAAUACCGGAUAAUAUUUUGAACCGCAUGGUUCAAAAGUGAAAGACGGUCUUGCUGUCACUUAUAGAUGGAUCCGCGCUGCAUUAGCUAGUUGGUAAGGUAACGGCUUACCAAGGCAACGAUGCAUAGCCGACCUGAGAGGGUGAUCGGACACACUGGAACUGAGAAACGGUACAGACUCCUACGGGAGGCAGCAGUAGGGAAUCUUCCGCAAUGGGCGAAAGCCUGACGGAGCAACGCCGCGUGAGUGAUGAAGGUCUUCGGAUCGUAAAACUCUGUUAUUAGGGAAGAACAUAUGUGUAAGUAACUGUGCACAUCUUGACGGUACCUAAUCAGAAAGCCACGGCUAACUACGUG
rnacentral:rRNA from 1 species